UACGAAGGGGGCUAGCGUUGUUCGGAAUUACUGGGCGUAAAGCGCACGUAGGCGGAUACUUAAGUCAGGGGUGAAAUCCCGGGGCUCAACCCCGGAACUGCCUUUGAUACUGGGUAUCUCGAGUCCGGAAGAGGUGAGUGGAAUUCCGAGUGUAGAGGUGAAAUUCGUAGAUAUUCGCAAGAACACCAGUGGCGAAGGCGGCUCACUGGCCCGGUACUGACGCUGAGGCACGAAAGCGUGGGGAGCAAACAGG
rnacentral:rRNA from 1 species